AGUGUAAGGGACACGCGGUGAACUGAAACAUCUCAGUAGCUGCAGGAAGAGAAAACAAAUGUGAUUCCCAUAGUAGCGGCGAGCGAAAUGGGAAGAGGCCAAACGAUCAUGCUUGCAUGAUCGGGUUGUAGGACUCAAGAAUGGACGAUUGUUGUUAGUUGAACACGUUGGAGAGCGUGGCCAAAGAAGGUGACAGCCCUGUAGGCGAAAACAACAUGAACCAAUGAGGAUCCUGAGUACGGCGGAACACGAGAAAUUCCGUCGGAAUCAGCCGGGA
rnacentral:rRNA from 1 species